rnacentral:rRNA from 1 species
UUCCCUUCGGGGACCUAGUGACAGGUGCUGCAUGGCUGUCGUCAGCUCGUGUCGUGAGAUGUUGGGUUAAGUCCCGCAACGAGCGCAACCCUCGUCCUUAGUUGCCAUCAUUAAGUUGGGCACUUUAAGGAAACUGCCGGUGAUAAGCCGGAGGAAGGUGGGGAUGACGUCAAGUCCUCAUGGCCCUUACAGGCUGGGCUACACACGUGCUACAAUGGCAUCUACAGUGGGCAGCUAUUCCGCAAGGAUGCGCUAAUCUCCAAAAGAUGUCUCAGUUCGGAUUGUCCUCUGCAACUCGAGGGCAUGAAGGCGGAAUCGCUAGUAAUCGCGGAUCAGCAUGCCGCGGUGAAUACGUUCCCAGGCCUU